CAUCCCAAAGAUUCGAUGUCAACGAGUACAUGAGCACUAUUGAAUGUCAAAAUGCAAGGCCAAAUCCUCAAUACAACUGUAUGAACAAUAGAACAGUAAUAACAUAAAUAAAUGAAAGAUAACUUCAGGGUCUACGGACGACAUAACAAUUACUCCGUAGUCUCCCCAAGAUAGUACCAGUGCGACUCUAAAAAUCAUCACACAUGAAAGUACCUGGAUCUGCACUUAAAGUUCAGAGUAUAGUAUGAGUACAACCGACCGGAUGCACUUAAUAAGUUACAAACCUAACCUUGGGCUGAAAGAAGUGACGAGCUUGAAACAAAAGUCUGCGUCGAAUACCAAUAUAUCAAUAAUAACUCAUAAUAUGAUAAAAACAGUAAAAAAAUAUAACGCAUAAAUAUCAUGUUCAGCUCGUUCACAAUUACGGGAAAAUUAGACAUACUUUCCAUGUAUUGCAGUCAAAACCCAGCUAGAAUGAGGAAAAGACAUCUCUAUGCUUAUAUAUCAAAUAUGCAUGUCAAGUCAAUUACAACACAGUGAAAUCCUCAAGUACACUCACUCUCAGCGCACUCAUGGUGCCUGGCACAAAGGCCCCUCACAAUCACACACAACCACAUUCAGUAUUGUACGGGUGCCUGGCACAAAUGCCCCUCGCCAAAGCACAUAUAUAUCACUAUGCCUGCGCUCGCUAUAUUAUAAGACUCCAGAGGGGAGGAUCAUGGCCCAAGAGCUAAUCAAUAAUCAAUAUAAUUAUUGCAUUGUGCAAUCCGAUCCAAAUAACAAUCCAUUGUGGCGCGUAACCCCAUCUAAAUAUCACUCACAACAUAGAUCUAUGGCCCACAUCAGUCCUCAACUGCUCAAGUCUUAUUGAUGCACAUCCCAUAACACUCAGCACAAAUAAUAUAACAUAUAGAAGGAAACAACAGCAUGUGACAUGACAAACCAAUAACGUACAAAGACUUAGAUAUAACAUGCAGAUGAAGAAUUAUGACUAGGGAUAUGACUAGAAUUAAAGAAAAUAACUCAAAAUGGCAAGAAUAGCCCAAUUAUGUCUCAAAUAAAUAAGCACAUUGCCUAUACAUGAUCUCUAAUAUGAAUCAUAGCUCAAGUAAUCACACAAUAGAGAAAAUACAGAUAUAACGAGGCAUGAUAGCAAACAGUCCCAUAGUAGUCUAAAAUUUACUCGGAUCAUAAAAUACUCCGGUGCACGCAUACACGCCCGUCACCUAGCACGUGUGUCACCCCCAAAACAUCUUAAAUAUAUAGUUCUCACGGAUAAUUACACUUAAAUCCAAGUUUAGAUAUGCAACUUACCUCACAACACGCGAAUCAAUACUCCAAAAAGCCCUUCCCGCGUGAAUUGACCUUCAAACAAUCGAAUCU
rnacentral:lncRNA from 1 species